AUUUAUUGCAAGGACAAAUGAGAAACAUUCUGAGGCUGCUGCAGCUUAUAUAGAGGCACAACAAAUCAAGGCAAGGGAGCAGCAACAUCAACUCCAAAUGCAGCAGCUGCAACUAAUGCAACAUCGCAAUGCUCGGUUGCAACAUAGGGACCCUAAUCACCCAGCUCUUGCUGGUUCUAUAAAUGCUAUUAACUCUGAAGGAAUGAUGGGGCAGCCUUCAGCUAGUGUCUUGGCUAUGAAAAUGUAUGAAGAACGUAUAAAACAUCCACAUUCUAUGGAAUCAGAGACAUCACCAACUCUAAUAGAUGCUAAUAGAGUGGCCCUUUUCAAAACAGCAACCAAUCAGCAGGGCCAGCUGGUACAGGUUAAUUCUGGGAACAUGUCUGCAGCAUUGCAGCAGAUCCAGGCACGAACCCCAUUGACAACUGACAUCAAAAGUGAAGUUAACUUGCUCCCAACUCAGAAAAGUUUGCCAAUGGACCCCUCAUCAAUGUAUGGUCAAGCAAUUUUACAAUCAAAGGCCGGACUAGGUGGUGCAGGUUUGAACCAAGGUUUAACUGGUCUUCCAUUGAAGGGUUGGCCAUUAACUGGAAUUGACCAAUUACGGCCAGGUUUGGGCGUACAAAUGCAGAAACCAAAUCUGCAGAGCCAAAAUCAGUUUCUUUUGGCUUCACAACAACAACCGGUCUUGGCACAGGCUCAAGCACCAAGCAGCCUUGGGAAUUCAAGUAACUUCGGAGACAUGGAUCCACGAAGGCUAAAUCAGUUGCCUAGGGGUAGCUUGAAUACAAAAGAUGGUCAAUCCACAAGAAACGAUGGAUCAAUGUGCUCUCCAGUGCAAUCAAGCUCGCCAAAGAUGAAGAUGGCCCAGAUGCAGCAUUCUCCGUCUCAACAGCAGGACCAAUUGCAGCAGCAACAACAGCUGCAGCAGGGUAACAGAAAAAGGAAGCAACACUCUUCAUCCGGAGCUGCUAACAGCACCGGUACAGGGAAUACUGUGGGCCCUUCACCCAGUUCUCCUCCAUCAACUCAUACCCCUGGUGAUGGAAUAACAACAGCAAGCAGUUUGCAGCAUGUUAACAGUGUGUCAAAAGGCUUGAUGAUGUAUGGUCCAGAGGGGACAGGAGGUCUUGCAUCAUCUUCCAACAUGCUGGAAGACAUGGACCGCUUUGGAGAUAUUUCUAGUCUGGAUGAUAAUGUGGUACAGUUUCUUCCACAUGAUGGAGGGGAUGGAAGCAAUUUAUAUGGAACACUAAAGCAAAGUUCCACUGAGCACCAAAAAGAGUCUACUAAAGGUUUUACUUUUGGUGAGUUUGGUUGCAUACGGUCAAGAAAUAGCAAGAUCACUUGCUGUCAUUUUUCUUCUGAUGGAAAGUUGCUAGCCAGUGCUGGGCAUGACAAGAAGGUUGUCCUGUGGAACAUGGAUACCCUGCAAACGGAGAACACCCCUGAAGAGCACAAACUCGUUAUUACAGAUGUUCGUUUUAGGCCAAAUUCAUCUCAGUUGGCCACAGCAUCAGUUGAUAAAUCUGUUCGGCUAUGGGAUGCAGCCAAUCCAAGCUAUUCCCUGCAUGCAUACACAGGGCCCAUGCCUGUCAUGUCCCUUGACUUCCACCCUAAGAAAACUGAUCUUUUCUGUUUUAGUGAUAACGACAAUGAAAUCCGCUAUUUUAAUAUCAAUCCAUUCACAUGCACUCGUGUUUCUAAGGGAGGUUCUGCUCAAGUGAGAUUUCAACCAAGAAUUGGACAUCUACUAGCAGCAGCAUCGGAUAAAGUAGUUUCCAUCUUUGAUGUUGAAACUGAUAGGCAAACACUCUCAUUCCAGAUAUUGCAUUUGAAAUGGACUGUUUGUUGUUGGUGAUUCUUGGCUGAGCUCAAGCUAUAUACACCCCAUUGUAGAUUGAAUAAUGAAUUGUAUGAAGGGGGCAUUCUGAAAUGGUAAACUACAUAUGCUGGGAUGCAAAUGGAGAUAUUCUGGCAUCUGUUAGUCAGAACUUGGUGAAGAUUUGGUCUUUGGCCUCAGGGGAGUGCACUCAUGAGUUUAGUUCUAAUGGAAACCAGUUUCAUUCUUGUGUUUUCCAUCCAAGCUAUUCAACUCUCCUGGUGAUAGGAGGAAUCUCGUCUUUGGAGCUAUGGAACAUCGCAGAGAAUAAGAGUAUGACAAUUCCAGCACAUGAAAACAUAAUCUCAGCCUUGGCACAGUCACCUGUCAAUGGAAUGGUAGCUUCCGCAAGUCAUGAUACUUCUGUUAAGCUAUGGAAAUGAAUCCAGAUGUUAGGUUUGCGGAAAUCUGGAUUUCAAGCAAUGGCACGGGUGGUUACGGGUUACAUCACUUGCGCCUUUUUUUUUUUUCCUUAAUC
rnacentral:misc_RNA from 1 species